rnacentral:pre_miRNA from 1 species
CAAAUACUCCCUCCGUCCCAAAAUUCUUGUCUUAAAUUUUUCUAAAUACGGAUGUAUCAAGUCACGUUUUAGUGUUAGAUACAUCCGUAUCUAGACUAAUCUAAGACAAGAAUUUUGGGACGGAGGGAGUAAUAA